UACGGGGGGAGCAAGCGUUGUUCGGAUUUACUGGGCGUAAAGGGCGCGUAGGCGGCCAGCACAAGUCAGUUGUGAAAUCUCCGGGCUUAACUCGGAAAGGUCAACUGAUACUGUGCGGCUAGAGUGCAGAAGGGGCAACUGGAAUUCUCGGUGUAGCGGUGAAAUGCGUAGAUAUCGAGAGGAACACCUGCGGCGAAGGCGGGUUGCUGGGCUGACACUGACGCUGAUGCGCGAAAGCGUGGGUAGCAAACGGG
rnacentral:rRNA from 1 species